rnacentral:rRNA from 1 species
GACGAACGCUGGCGGCGUGCUUAACACAUGCAAGUCGAGCGGUAAGGCUCCUUCGGGAGUACACGAGCGGCGAACGGGUGAGUAACACGUGAGUAAUCUGCCCUUCACUUCGGGAUAACCACCGGAAACGGUGGCUAAUACCGAAUACGACCAGUCUUCGCAUGAGGUGCUGGUGGAAAGUCUUUUCGGUGAAGGAUGUGCUCGCGGCCUAUCAGCUUGUUGGUGGGGUAAUGGCCUACCAAGGCUUCGACGGGUAGCCGGCCUGAGAGGGUGACCGGCCACACUGGGACUGAGACACGGCCCAGACGCCUACGGGAGGCAGCAGUGGGGAAUAUUGGACAAUGGGCGAAAGCCUGAUCCAGCAACGCCGCGUGAGGGAUGACGGCCAUCGGGUUGUAAACCUCGUUCAGUACCGACGAAGCGCCCUGUCGGGUGGUGACGGUAGGUACAGAAGAAGGACCGGCCAACUACGUG